rnacentral:rRNA from 1 species
GCGACCCCNGGACGGGCGAGGCCNCCCGCCGAGUUUAAGCAUAUCAAUAAGCGGAGGAGAGAA